rnacentral:tRNA from 1 species
GGAAUGUGGCUCAGUUGUAGAGUGUAUGCCUAGCAUGCAUGAAGCACUGGGUUCAAUCCUCAGUACCA